GUCCCCGCCUCCGCCGCCUCCUCCUCCUCCUCGGGGACUUCCCAAGCUCCGCGCUUCCCGCCCGCCCCGCCGAGCCUCCCUGCCCCGGGCGCCGGCCUCCCCUCCCAGCGCCCCCGCCCUCUCCCGGGCACACGGCGUCCCCCUCCCCUCACACACAGCCCCCGUUCCCGCCCCGAGGAGCCCAGGGCCCGCCAGCCGAGCGGGAACCGAGACAAAGUCCAUCAAGGAGAAGCAAGCUGCCCUCCAAUCACUGCAGCCAGGGAUUCCCCAGCAUGAGGGAGAAGAGAGAGGUGCAUGGUGAUGAUGGAUGCUGGCAGGGAGCUGAGGAACUUCAGCAUUUGAACUGAGGGUGCAGGCUACAAAUCUCCCUUGAAAUAAAACCAGCUAACAUUUGGGACCACCUGCCUGGUAAAGAACAGGUAUGCUGAGAUCUCUUCUUCUUUAGAGUGUGAUCUCUGAAUUACUGUCAUCUCCCAUCACUGCACCCACGACUGGUCACGGGUAACACGCAGGAGUGGAGCGUGUUGGCUCUGUGAAGGAAGGAGACUUCUGUUCUAACUCUCCCAGGUAUCCACAGGUCCAUGGAAGGACUACUACCCUCGAUUAAUACCUGGGCUUCUUGCCAAUGCUUUGACCAGUUUAAGUGGGAGAGUGGGGACGUUACAAAGUGCAUCCAACUUCUGCAGUCAGCAGCACUGUGUGAUGAAUGUCACCGUAACCUAGAGAGAAGUAAGAUGGCACCAAUUCUCUUUCCAGAUCAUCGUUAGUUGAACAGGUCAGGAGCUUCAGAAUACCACAAGUGUUUAAAAACAACGGCAUCUUUGCCCUUUUCUUUUGCUCUUUCUGAGUGUGAAAUUUGGACCAAGAAGGCAGCAGACUGAGAAAAUGUCUGAAGCCUUUGGAAUGUGGCACUGCUGCCAAGUACAGCUAUACCAGGAAAACACAGGCAGAUCAACGAGCAACUGUGCCUGAGGGCUAGGAGGCAGAGGAGGGAGGUUUACUUUUGCCUAAGGAUGGUCAAAAGUGGCAGUGGGACUAUUUUAGGGAAUUAUUGAGAAGGAAUUGGAGAGCCAUGGAGAGAGGAGAAUGAAACAUGAGGAUUCCAGGUCAGAUAGAGAAGUCUUGGACAGCCAAGGAGCAAUGACAGAGCACCUUGUCGAGGGAGAGCAGAAGUCUGUCCAGCAUAGCAUGCUCCCUUUGGAAGAAGUGACUCCUCAAUAUUUCCCUGUAGGGGAGAUCUGCAGUGCUUCUCUAAAGCUGCAAGAGGAAAUCAGGUGGGAGCGGGGCUGAGGAAGCCUCUAUUCUGAAAGUACUGUGGCAAAAAUCUCUUGCAUAUAAUACUGUUUUCUUUCUCCUGAAGUGCACUCAUGUUCUUUAUUAAAGCAGAACAAUGUCUGCAGCCAUGUACCACCAUAUGGGCCAUGGGGAGAGAUUAUCCAGGUUCCCAUCAUGCAUCACAACAUAAAGGAAACAUUACUUCCUGUUUGCAAAGAGAUGGUCAAAACAAAAAUCUUUGGGUGAAAGCAUAAUGUUAUUUUAAAAGGCAUAACUGUUACCUAAAGCCUGGAGGUAAAUGGAUUAUGCAUCCAGUUCUUCAUGGAUUUUACCACUUGAUUCCGUUUGAAAAUCCCCUUCUUAAUAUUUUCAGUCAUAAAUGCCCUUAAUUUGUUUUACCUCCAACAUCUUGCUAUAUUUGGCUGAAGGGCUCUCUGAUUCCACAAGCUGCUUUCCUACUAAGUGUGAAAAUGUAACUUCUGAAGGGUUGUGUAAGUGCACUCGUUGCUAUUUCUCUUUUUACCCAAUCCAGCAGAGGGAAAUACUGCCAUCAUAGUCAAUUGAGCUGCCCUGGCAUUUUUGACAGGAUGCAGCAAAGACCAUGUCAGGUGUUACAAACCACUAAGAGAACAAUUACAUAACAUUACGGAGGUUGUGUGAGUACAGAGCUUCCCAAAGAGAGACCACAGAUCACUCCCAUGGUAGGAGCAAUCUGGGUUUUCUGUUAGGGAGCAUCUUUUGCCUCCAGAAGCUGUGAACCCUCAGCAAUACUCCUGAGAGCUGUGUAUCAGCAUGGGACCAUAUCCUCGUCUUGCUCUUGAGAUACUGUGGCUGCUACUGAGUGGAAAUGAAGCUUUCAAGCACAUCUCACAAACUGCAAUAUUUCUUUUGAGCUGCAGCCUUGGCUUAUCACUGUGAUGACUGUAGGAACACCCCAGCAUGCCUGGGAAUGCACCUCCUGCAAGGAGACUUGGAGUGAAAAGUUUGUGUACUGUUUAAGCCUGUGUAAGACAGCACUGCCUUUGAAAGGAGUGCAGGUGGGGACAUACAGACAGCCAGAUCAGAGUGAACCAGAUCAGAGAUUUUAACCUGGGUAAGUUUUUAACUAAAUCAGUUUCUCUUGUGUUGGCUCACCAUGUGCUCAGGCAGCUUUGGUGGAAGACUGUGAAGAAGUGGCAUUUGGACCUGUUGGAGUGGGUCCAGAGGAGGGCCAUGAAAACUAUCAGAAGGCUGGAACACAUCUCCUGUGAAGAAAGGCUGAGAGAGUUGGCGUUGUUCAGCCUAGAAAAGAGAAGGGUCUGGGGAGACCUUACUGAGGCAUUUCAAUACUUAAAAGGGGCUUAUAAGACAGACUUUUUACCAGGAUCUGUAGUGAUAGGACAAGGGAGGAAUGGUUUUAAGCUGAAAGACAGUAGAUUUAGAUUGGACACAAGGAAGAAGUUUUUUAAGCUGAGGGUGGUGAGACACUGGCACAGGCUGCCCAGAGAAGCUGUGGGUGCCCCAUCAUUGGAAGUGUUCAUGGUCAAGUUGGACGGGGCUUUGAGCAACCUGGUCUAGCAGAAGCUGUCCCUGCCCAUAUCAGGGGGGUUGGACAAGAUGAGCUUUCUUGGUACUUUCCAACCCAACCCAGUCUGUGAUUCUGUGACAGAGGGGAAGACAGGCUGAUUCUUUCAGCAGCUGUGCUGGUUUAUGGUGGCAUACAGCGUGUUUGAGAACUGUGAAUCCCAAGGCAGAGAGAACUUACGGGAUCAAGAGAGGAUGUUAUCACCAGGUGGACUCAGAAUGAGAGGCCUGCAGUGGACAUCAGCCCUGCAGACCACAUAGGGGUACCCCGGCCCUCAAUCAUGCCUGGAUCCUAGAGGGAUGCCAGCUCCAGCCUCUCGGCACUUCUGCUCUGCCUCCCAGGCACAACGGGGGUAAUCUGCCCCCCUUGGUGGCAAACAUGCAGCACUCGUCCUCUGCAAAACAGGCCAGAAAUCCAGAGUCUGCCCUUGACUGUCACUGGGAGAGGGGUUAAUACUGGGAAGAAUUUAGUUUGCAAGAAAAAGAAGAUAAGGAGAAUUUUUCCAAAGCUAUUCAAGGCAGUAAACACAGAAUUCAAAUUUUGGCAGAAAAUAAACUGCUUUUCAGACAGCUGAGGGCGCUCAGCACUUCUUAAGUGAAGUUGGUGUUUUGCAGGUUUGAGCCUUAAGCCAAAACACUAAAAUGCACUGAUGCUUGAAUCAAAGAUAAUGCUGCUAGUGAGCAAAGCCUGGUCAGGGGCCUAGGCUCUAACAUUGCCAACAGCUCAAAAAUAAAAGUCCCAGAGCUGGUUAAAUACCUGUGUAUGUGCUUUGGUACAGGCAUUAAUUUAAUGCCUUAAUUUUAAUGGCACCUUGAAAGAACUCUUUGAUCACAGAUUUCCCCUUCUGAAGCAGCAGGGCUUUAUUUAUUUAUUACAAUUUCAAGUAUCUCCAUAAAUGUACAACUGGAGAAAGAUGUUAAGGUAAUAUACCUGGAUAUUUAUGUUCUGACCAUCUUCUUGCAAAUUUCUCUCAUUCUGGUUUUACCCUUGUCUUUGGGAUCUGCUUCUUGACUUGACACACCUUUGCCAGAAUCACCAUCUAUAUCUGUCCUGAAUUUCCCGAGAAAAGGGCCUCUGCUGUGGUGGGUUCUGUGUUGUGGGCUCGUCUGUUCAGUUCUGGAAAGAGACACACUGACCUUAUUUCACCUGUACCAUGUUACAUUAUUGUUUUUAGGGAUUUUUACUAUAAACUAGUUUACUCUGGGUUCUCAUUUAUUUUCCAUUGAUUUCUGUAGCUUAUUCAGGCUUCUUAAAAUCCUUCUAUAAUUUUUGUUUAUUCACCACUCUUUAUUAACAAAUCUUUAAUUCCUUAGUGCUUCUAAAGCUCCUUAGGACAUGAAACAAUCCUUCUGAUUUGUUCACCGUUAUUAUUACCACCAGUGGUACGAAUAAAAUUAGUGUAUUUGUGUACUUAAUACAUACACUUAUUUAAGUCAAGUAAUUACUGCUACUAAAGUCUUGCUUAGUUGGAUGCCUCAUGUCCUUGAGAAGAAAGAUUAAUCUAGUUAUCAUGGCAAUGAUUUCUUUACUUGUUUCAGCCCUAAAGGGACAUCUUGGCUUAGAAGGUUAAGUACUUUCAUGUCAGUCAAUUGCCAUCUUUUUAAUCCUCAGAGACUUUGAUUUGGGUUUUCAAGCACUGGUAAUUAAAUUAAAGCACCUGUUACUUGCAAGGCCAGUUGACACUGGGUGUCUAGAUCAUCUCUCUUAGGUACGUGUGGGCAUGGUGAAUCUCCUCAUGUGGAAAUAAAUUGUCUUAAUUUAGGGUUCGUGUAUGACAACGUGGCUGUAAUAGUGCUUCCGAACUCGAGCCGUGCAGAGCCUCAUGGCAUGGCAUGGGCUAGCUCAUUUGCUUCAUUCAGGUGCUCCAGCACCUGAGACCAUACGCUGUUUUGUCAGGGAACAAAUGUCUUCCUCUUUUGGUCUUGCAUGACGGGUCCAACCACACAGCCAAGCUGCAGCUGGCACGGGGCCUUCAGGUGGGAUUUCCCUUUUACCCCUGAGCACAGGACUUGGCUCCUAGGUUACCCAGCUCCAUGGUUUCCCCACUGAGGGCUGAAGCACAGUGCUGCAGAGAAAAGGCAGAGAGCACUUCUUUCUUGUCCUGGUGCUCAGUUUGCUGAGAACACAUAAUUUCUCAGUACUCAUAAUCUGGAAUUCUCAACCCAUUCCAGUGUUUUCAAUGAGAUUAGAAAUGGCUUUGGCAACACGUAAGUUCCUUAUGGCACAGCCAGGCAGCACAGUAA